GGGAAUUACCUUAAUUGAAAAACCCCAAAGGCCGAAACUACACAAAUCUCAUCCGUUAGCGCCACAACAAAAAUUCGUCGGCCACCAUAACAACCAAAAGUGUCAGUUUCGAUAUUGUUACUGGCAUCGUUCUUCUCCUUCACUUACUUGACUUCAUCGGCAAAGUAUUCUGCUUCCCAGGUGGAAGAUUUCAAUCUGAUGAAAAGUUGCAGAAAUUAUUUGAAGACUAUCAUUCGUCAGAAUUAGUUAUAUAAUGACAUUAGCUAUUUAGUUCAAACAAUAUAAGUUUAUUUUUAAAGUUACUGUGACACUAAUAUUUUUGAAUAAUACUUACAUUUACUUGUUAAGAUUUAUUGAGAUAUAUUCUAUUUCUUGAAUUAAUAUUAA